rnacentral:rRNA from 1 species
UACGGAGGGUGCAAGCGUUAUCCGGAUUUACUGGGUUUAAAGGGUGCGUAGGCGGAUUUUUAAGUCAGUGGUGAAAUUCUUAGGCUUAACCAAAGAGCUGCCAUUGAUACUGAAAGUCUUGAAUUCUAUUGAAGUAGGCGGAAUAUAACAUGUAGCGGUGAAAUGCUUAGAUAUGUUAUAGAACACCAAUUGCGAAGGCAGCUUACUAAGUAGAUAUUGACGCUGAGGCACGAAAGCGUGGGGAUCAAACAGG